ACUUUGGGCCUUUUCUUGUGUCUCGGUUGUAAAGGCAUGCCAGCUACAGCAUUCGAGAGGGCCGUUCUUUAACAAAAGGAAAGAGAUAAAUGUAAAUAAGCUCACAUUUUCAGAAGGAGCAGUUUGCUGUAAGAAGCUUCAGCAGCCAGAGUCUGCUACUUUGGGCUGGGAUAAACUUUCCCUGUAAAAAAUAGUAAUAGAUCAAAAUAUGCACUUCUAAAGUGCGAGUUUCCCGUUUACAUGUUUAUUACCUAAUUGUCUACAGGCAUGAGCACACUCUGUCAUCUAGCACACUCUUUCUUGGGGAAUACUGGUCUCUGGAGGAGUGUGAAAAUCAAUUCUCCUUAAUGUUAAGCAUCCAUUGGAGGAAAUCUCUAACCACAGUACCUCCAGAAAGUUCAUUGAUCAACCAAGUCUUGGAUAAAAUUAGUGCCAGAAUUUGGUUUGAACUAAUGUGGAGGAAAACAUUUCCUACCAGCCUUUAGUCUCAGAGUGCUGAACCCUGCAGUCUGCAGGCCUCCUGAAUAAAAGUCCAUGGGUGACAGAAGAUUCAUUGACUUCCAAUUCCAAGAUUUAAAUUCAAACCUCAGACCCAGGUUGGGCAAUGCUACUGCCAAUAAUACUUGCAUUGUUGAUGAUUCCUUCAAGUAUAAUCUGAAUGGUGCUGUCUACAGUGUUGUAUUCAUCCUGGGUUUGAUAACCAACAGUGCAUCUCUGUUCGUCUUCUGCUUCCGCAUGAAAAUGAGAAGUGAGACAGCUAUUUUCAUCACCAAUCUGGCCCUCUCUGAUUUGCUCUUUGUCUGCACUCUACCUUUCAAAAUAUUUUACAAUUUCAACCGCCACUGGCCUUUUGGUGAUACCCUCUGCAAGAUCUCUGGGACUGCAUUCCUAACCAACAUCUAUGGGAGCAUGCUCUUCCUUACCUGUAUUAGCGUGGAUCGUUUCCUGGCCAUUGUCUAUCCCUUCCGAUCCCGUACCAUUAGGACCAGGAGGAAUUCUGCCAUUGUGUGUGCUGGAGUCUGGAUCCUAGUCCUCAGUGGUGGUAUUUCAGCCUCUUUAUUCUCCACCACUAAUGUCAACAAUGCAACCACCACCUGCUUUGAGGGCUUCUCCAAACGUGUAUGGAAGACAUAUCUGUCCAAGAUAACCAUAUUUAUUGAAGUUGUUGGUUUUAUCAUUCCUUUGAUACUGAAUGUCUCUUGCUCUUCUGUGGUGCUAAAAACCCUCCGUAAGCCUGCUACAUUGUCUCAAAUUGGGACUAAUAAGAAAAAAGUGCUGAAGAUGAUCACAGUGCAUAUGGCAGUCUUUGUGGUAUGCUUUGUACCCUAUAACUCUGUUCUCUUCCUGUAUGCCCUGGUGCGCUCCCAAGCCAUUACCAAUUGCUUGUUGGAAAGAUUUGCAAAGAUUAUGUAUCCAAUCACCUUGUGCCUUGCAACUCUAAACUGUUGCUUUGACCCUUUCAUCUAUUACUUCACCCUUGAGUCCUUUCAGAAGUCCUUCUAUAUCAAUACCCAUAUCAAGAUGGAGUCUCUGUUUAAGACUGAAACACCUCUGACCACAAAGCCUUCCCUUCCAGCUAUUCAAGAGGAAGCUAGCGAUCAAACAACACAUAAUGGUGGUGAAUUAAUGCUAGAAUCCACCUUCUAGGUACAAGAAGUCCCUUUAGGUCCAGAUAUAGUUUCUUCUAUGAUUUUCCUAUGCUUUGAAUAAAAAAUUUGAAGCUAAUGAUAUUGAGAAUAGAUUAAUGUACUGAAUAUAGUCAGAUACAUUUAUUUGAAUGUUUAUUGUAAUACAUAUAUUGUUUUGUUCGAUAAUUAUAGGUCACAUCUAAUUACAACAGCCAGAAGGAAUUGCCAAACUCUUCUUCUGGGUUGGAAAUUCAUUGUACCACAUUAUAUAAGUCAACAGUAGCCUUGACUUCAGUGAUAUAGAGUUUACUUAAAAACUUUGAAAAAAUAUAUUUCCAUUCCAAUAUUUGGUAAUUAGUUUGGGCCUAUAAAUAUAGAACAAAUUCAGGUAUUUUUUUUUUAAACAACCUUUUGUGUUACUACUGAUAUAUACUAGUCUUUUUUUGCUUUUUGAAUUGUCAUUGAGUUUAUUUUAGUACAAGAACAUACUUUAGUUUAACAUUAUUAAUAAAAAAGUAUCAAAUUUAAAAAAGUUAGUAAAAUGUAUUGUAUAUAUUUUAAAAGCAGAAACAUAAAUUGUGUUUGUAUAAAUAUUGCUGGGAAGAAAUGGAAAAUUUCUGGAUUUACAUAUUUGCAGUUACCAGCAGUGUCAGCUUUUAAAAACUUUUCCUUUUUUAUACUAUAUUAAAUUUCUUAUAUGAAAUGUCAAAUCCAGAAAGCUGCUAAAUAUGUGCCCAAAACAGGGCAAAAUGGAAAAUCACAUAAAACAGCAAAUGUUCAUAAAAAACUAAGAGAAAUUAACAUUUUCUCUAAGAAUUUUCAAUUAUUUUUCUUUUGGGAGACUAAUUUUUAUAAAUAUUCCAUAUGUGAAAUUUUGAAGCACAGUGCAACCAUAAAGCUUCUGCAUUUGUGCCCAGGUCAGAAGCAAAUUGAAAAAAAAAAGGGACAAAAGUAUAACAAAAAUAUAAUAAUAAAACAAAAAACUUUCUUAAAACUUGCAUCAAUCAUUUUUUGAGGGAGGGAGCAGAGAUCUGUAAAUUACUUAUGCUUUCAUAUUAAUUUUGGAGCACAAUGUAGCCAGAGAGCUGCUGAAUUUGUGCCCAGGUUUGGAGCAUAUUGAAAAAAAAAAUACAUAAACCAAACUAAACCAAUGCAAACAAACAAACACACACAAAAAGAAAACCUGUAAAACAAUAAAAACCACAAAAAUAUUCCUAACACUUGCAUUAAUAUUUUAUUUAUUAUUUGAGUAUAUGUAAAUUUUAAAUUACUGUAUUAUUUGUAUAAAAUUUUAGAGUACAAGUAGAAAUCCAGUACAUUUGUGCCCAAGUCAGGACCUAAUUGGAAAAAAAUAAAAGCAAAAUAACUCCUUAGAAAACAAUAACAACAACAACACACACACACACAAAACUUAGAACUUUUCUUUUCUGAGCAUUUUUAAGACUUAAAAGAUACUAUAACUUUCUUAAGAUGCUUUGAAUUAAAAUGCAACUAGGAAGUUACUAAACUGGCAUCUACUUCAGGAGCAAUUAAAAUCAAUAUUUUAAAGUAUAUACAAAGAAACUUUUUGUAACUAAUUUAAACAACAAAAGCAGCAAAAACAUCUUUAGAAUCUCUUACCAUUGAUUGAAUGAAGUAUAGAUUUAAGAAUAUUAAAACCUUAAAACUUCUGAGCAUGGUAUAGCUUGAAAGAUUUAUGCUCAGGUAAGAAGUAGUGAAAAUAAAUAUCCUGCAUACAUACUACAGACAAAUACACACAUAAUUAAAGCACUGCAAAACAAAACCAAAAUAUUCUUAAAGUAUGUUUUAAUCAAUUUUUAAAAUUAUUUAGAAAUGUGAUAAUUUUAAAAUGCUAAGACUUCUUAAGUAAAAAUUUCAGAAACAACACAUUUUGUAAGUUGCUGAACUUGCACCAGGGAGUGAUUUAAAAAAGAUUAAAAACCAUAAAAUAUUGGCAAAAAAUUAAAACUUUUAAAGCAAUAAGCUAAUUGUUAAAACUCUUAUUAACCUUUGUCUUUCAGAUAUGUGAAGUUACUCAGUCGUGUCUGACUCUUUGUGAUCCCAUGGACUGUAGCCCACCAGGCUCCUCCAUCCAUGGAAUUCUCUAGGCAAGAAUACUGGAGUGGGUUGCCAUUUCCUUCUCCAGGGGAUCUUCCCGACCCAGGGAUCGAACCCGGGUCUUCUGCAUUGCAGGCAGACGCUUUACCAUCUGAGCCACCAGGGAAUCCCACAUAUAUGUAGAUUAAAAAUACUAAAAUUUUAAGAUAAAAAUUCAUGAGCAUAAUGUAACUCUUAAAAACCGCUAAAUCUGUGCCUGGACUAGGAACUGAUUGAAAAAAAGGCUAAAACAAUAGAAAAAUAAUAAAACAGAAUUCUUAAAAUGGUAUUACUUUUUCUUCACGAUCUAAAUUCCUAAAAAUAAUCAGGCAUUAUAUUGUCUCAUGAAAACAAGUUAUAGAUAGAAUAUGUAAGACAUUAGAUUAAGUUAGAUGAAAUUAGGUUAAGUUAGGUAAAGUUUGGUUGUUAGGUUAUAUUGUAAGAUCAAAUUAGUUAUCAAAGUAUGAAUAAUAUUUUUGUUUCUUUUAGUAUUCUUUAUCUUCUGUUUCUUAUAAAUAUAAACUAUAUGUGAACUUUUGUUUGUGCCCUUUACUCUCAAAAUUAUGAAAUUUUAGGAUUAUUACACCAAACCAUUUAAUAGAAUAUAUUAACCAAGUUGACAUAUAUCAAUAAACCAAUUUCUUACUGUAUAAUUUCCAUAUUUAGUUUUGUUCACUUUUCCAUAUUUCAAUUUAUUUUAAUUUCAAAUUUUAUAGUUAAUAUAGCUUGCUAAUGAUAAAUUUUUUGUCAUAUUAACAAUGUAACCAAACAAAAUGUAAUGUAAGCUAAAUAUAAAAUUACCUUUUAUUUUACAUUUAAAAGCAAAAGCAAUCAUUCAACUGUAGCUACAACUUGGAUUUUAAGUGCUUAUUAAAUGUAAUAAAAUACAUUUGGAUUAUCUAGCAGUU
rnacentral:tRNA from 1 species